UACGUAGGGUGCAAGCGUUGUCCGGAAUUAUUGGGCGUAAAGAGCUCGUAGGCGGUCUGUUGCGUCGGCUGUGAAAACCCGGGGCUCAACCCCGGGCCUGCAGCCGAUACGGGCAGACUAGAGUUCGGCAGGGGAGACUGGAAUUCCUGGUGUAGCGGUGAAAUGCGCAGAUAUCAGGAGGAACACCGAUGGCGAAGGCAGGUCUCUGGGCUGACACUGACGCUCAUGCACGAAAGCGUGGGGAGCAAACAGG
rnacentral:rRNA from 1 species